UUUAAUGUAUAUCAAUGAUGCAUAUCUAUAAUUUUGAAAAUUAAUUGUGAUAUAUUAUAAUUCGUCACUACCACUGAGCGAACAUUAAA
rnacentral:snoRNA from 1 species